AUUGAACGCUGGCGGAAUGCUUUACACAUGCAAGUCGAACGGCAGCACGGACUUCGGUCUGGUGGCGAGUGGCGAACGGGUGAGUAAUGUAUCGGAACGUGCCCAGUCGUGGGGGAUAACGUAGUGAAAAUUACGCUAAUACCGCAUACGCUCUAUGGAUGAAAGCGGGGGAUCGCAAGACCUCGCGCGAUUGGAGCGGCCGAUACCAGAUUAGGUAGUUGGUGGGGUAAAGGCCCACCAAGCCAACGAUCUGUAGCUGGUCUGAGAGGACGACCAGCCACACUGGAACUGAGACACGGUCCAGACUCCUACGGGAGGCAGCAGUGGGGAAUUUUGGACAAUGGGCGAAAGCCUGAUCCAGCCAUUCCGCGUGCAGGAUGAAGGCCCUCGGGUUGUAAACUGCUUUUGUACAGAACGAAAAGGUUUCUACUAAUACUAGGAGCUCAUGACGGUACUGUAAGAAUAAGCACCGGCUAACUACGUGCCAGCAGCCGCGGUAA
rnacentral:rRNA from 1 species